rnacentral:rRNA from 1 species
GAUGAACGCUGGCGGCGUGCCUAAUACAUGCAAGUCGAGCGAACGGGCGAGAAGCUUGCUUCUCUGAUGUUAGCGGCGGACGGGUGAGUAACACGUGGAUAACCUACCUAUAAGACUGGGAUAACUUCGGGAAACCGGAGCUAAUACCGGAUGAUAUUUUGAACCGCAUGGUUCAAAAGUGAAAGACGGUCUUGCUGUCACUUAUAGAUGGAUCCGCGCUGCAUUAGCUAGUUGGUAAGGUAACGGCUUACCAAGGCAACGAUGCAUAGCCGACCUGAGAGGGUGAUCGGCCACCCUGGAACUGAGACACGGUCCAGACUCCUACGGGAGGCAGCAGUAGGGAAUCUUCCGCAAUGGGCGAAAGCCUGACGGAGCAACGCCGCGUGAGUGAUGAAGGUCUUCGGAUCGUAAAACUCUGUUAUUAGGGAAGAACAUAUGUGUAAGUAACUGUGCACAUCUUGACGGUACCUAAUCAGAAAGCCACGGCUAACUACGUG